UAUUAUAUUACAGAUUCCUUCAGGCUUAGGAAAUUGUUUUGUUUUUAUUUUUAUUUAUUUAUUUUUGUUAGCCUGUAAGCCUCCUUCACCUCUUAAGACUCACUUGUAGCCCAGAAAAGUAUCAUCCUUUAACAAUUGCUGUUUUUUUGACUUGGGAGUGUGUGUAAAUACCAGUAUAUCAUAUCUCAGAGCAUCUGUUAUGUGGAGUUAGAAUUCAGUGAAAGUCUUAAUUUCUGUCUUCUCAUUUACAGUUGAAAAGGACGAGGGCGUUUUGAUAGUAAGGGAAGAUGCCGGAAGAUCUUAAUUACAAUUUCUGAAAUAGAAUGGGUGGAUACCGAGCUCAGGAAAGCUUAGUUCUUCCCUAAGCACUCCGUAAUUUGAGUUUUCUUAUGGAUUUUUUUGUUUGUUUGAUUUUUGUUUUGUUUUUAGUGGCAAACUCAACGUUUUCUAGUUUCUUUCUCUAUUAUUAUUAUUAUUAUUACUGGGGAAUAUAAAAACUAGUACUCAGGACUGAAGAGAUGGCUCAGCGAUUAAGAGCUCUUCCGGAGGUCCUGAGUUCAAUUCCCAGCAACCACAUCCAUGGUGGCUCACGACCAUCUGUAAUGAGAUUCGAUGCCCUCUUCUGGUGUAUCUGAAGACAGCCACCGUGAACUUGUAUAUUAAAUAAAAUCUUGUUUUUUUUAAAAAAACAAACCAAAACAUUUUAAAGACUAAUACUCAAGCCAAAAGGGAUAAAGUUAGGUUGGCCUCCUGGUUGAGAGCUCCAGCUUUUCCACUGUCAUGGAAGACCGAGGUCGUAGGUCUGGUAGUUGAGAAAGGUUAAUUGGAGGGAGAAUAUUCUUGGCAGGAAGACAUGGAACAGCAGGGCAAAAUUUGGGGGAGCACCGUUGUUCCUGGAGCCCAGAUUUAUGAAAACAUGAGUGCUUUGUGCGUUAUACAUACUGGGCUUGCUGGAGUACAGACAUUUUUAGGGGG
rnacentral:lncRNA from 1 species